UACGUAGGGUGCAAGCGUUGUCCGGAAUUAUUGGGCGUAAAGAGCUCGUAGGCGGUCUGUCGCGUCUGCUGUGAAAACUCAGGGCUUAACCCUGAGCUUGCAGUGGGUACGGGCAGACUAGAGUGCGGUAGGGGAGACUGGAAUUCCUGGCGUAGCGGUGAAAUGCGCAGAUACUCAGGAGGAACACCGGUGGCGAAGGCGGGUCUCUGGGCCGUAACUGACGCU
rnacentral:rRNA from 1 species